rnacentral:rRNA from 1 species
CUACGGGGGGUGCAAGCGUUAAUCGGAAUUACUGGGCGUAAAGCGCGCGUAGGCGGUUAAAUAAGUUGGAUGUGAAAUCCCCGGGCUCAACCUGGGAACUGUAUUCAAAACUGUUUAACUAGAGUAUGGUAGAGGGAAGUGGAAUUCCAGGUGUAGCGGUGAAAUGCGUAGAUAUCUGGAGGAACAUCAGUGGCGAAGGCGACUUCCUGGAUCAAUACUGACGCUGAGGUGCGAAAGCGUGGGUAGCAAACAGGAUUAGAUACCCCGGUAGUCC